ACCUCGGUAGUGUAGUAAUAGCACGCGUCUCGGUAUGAAUGAAACGAGGGUUCGACCCCCGCCUGAGGUC